rnacentral:tRNA from 1 species
GCCUGCGUAGCUCACCGGAAUAGAGCGUCGCCCUGCGAAGGCGAAGGUAGCGCGUUCAACUCGCGCCGCAGGUA